rnacentral:rRNA from 1 species
UAGGGAAUCUUCGGCAAUGGGGGGAACCCUGACCGAGCAACGCCGCGUGAGUGAAGAAGGUUUUCGGAUCGUAAAGCUCUGUUGUUAAGGAAGAACGAGUGUGAGAAUGGAAAGUUCAUACUGUGACGGUACUUAACCAGAAAGGGACGGCUAACUACGUGCCAGCAGCCGCGGUAAUACGUAGGUCCCGAGCGUUGUCCGGAUUUAUUGGGCGUAAAGCGAGCGCAGGCGGUUAGAUAAGUCUGAAGUUAAAGGCAGUGGCUCAACCAUUGUAGGCUUUGGAAACUGUUUGACUUGAGUGCAGAAGGGGAGAGUGGAAUUCCAUGUGUAGCGGUGAAAUGCGUAGAUAUAUGGAGGAACACCAGUGGCGAAAGCGGCUCUCUGGUCUGUAACUGACGCUGAGGCUCGAAAGCGUGGGGAGCGAACAGG